GGGGGGUUUAUAAUGUUACGAUAUAUGUAUAUACAUAAGCUAAAAUCCUGCAUGGUUAAUAAUAUUGCAUAAAGAAUGUUAAUAUAUAUUCUGUAUACAUUUCUCAAUUAUUAUUGUCAUAUAUCACAUGAAAUAAAAGAAUACACGUCAUAUUAUGAAUAAAAAACACUAAUAGAUAAAUAUUGAGUCAUCGUUUUGAAGUUUUAGCCAUUUCAUCAGUUAUCAACAAUGGGUCAACAUAAAUAUCCUGGUGUAUGUUGAGGACUGCCCAUCCAUUUAGUCUCAUUUGACCAGUAGUAUUUCUGAUAUAAUUUUUAAGUCGACACAAGGAAGAAAAAGACCUCUUUCCAGUAGCUGUUGUGACUGGUAGUGUAUUUAAUAUUUGCAAUAACUUUGAGAUUACAGGAAAAAAAUCAGGAUUACAGAGGAAAAACAGUUCUGUUGUUGUUAUUUGUUAACGACGAAUUUGGUGAUUUGAAUGCGCAACUGUUAUACCACAGUUUAAGUUCAGCAUAACCUACUUCUAAGCUAGUCAAAUUGUUGCUGUUACUUAAUAAUUCAGUAUAAAAAUUGAACAUAAUAUUUUGAAGUCCUCAAAAGUUUCUUCAGAUAUUUGUUUGCUAGUAUUAGGUAAUAAGCGGUUGAAGCUUUUUAGUUUGGCCGUAUGUUCAAGAAAUCGUCUAUGGAGUUGUUCAAUAAAAUUAACAAGAACUGAUAUGAGUAUUGAGACUAUAAUAUUCUGUUGGAUUAUUAUUCAUAAUAUUUCUCCUAUUUUUUUUGUCGACCUGUUGUUCUUGGAACACUAACAGUUAUACCAAAAACAGAACAGACAUCUUCAACUUUUUAAAUAAAUUAUCAAACUCAACAUCAGCUUUUUGGUGGAUUUGUUUUAUAGUUGAUUGUGUCAUAUCAGCAAAUUCUAGAGCAGGUUCUAAAUUUAGUUUUCAGUUUGAAGAAAUUUGCUCAAAGGAGCAGUAUUGCAAAUGCUUUUACUAAUAUGAAUAAGGCUAACCAAAACAAACAGCUAAUGGCCAUAGUUGCCGGGCUUCACGAACAAUAAAAAAAAAAAAAAUUAAAACUUUAUAUUUUUAUAAUUAUUAUUUUCCAGAUGAUUUGGUCGGUAAGAAACAUUUUUUGUGUUUUUUAUUUCAUUGAUAUUUAUAAUUUAUUGUUGUUUGAAAGUUUCUUGAUGGAUUUAUAUAGGCAAUAUUUUUCUUCUGACAUAAUUGUUUGUUAAUCAAUUGGUAAUCAUAAGAAACUACUUUAAAUCUGUAAUACUGUAUAAAGUCUAAAAAUUAUAGACGAGGGUGUUUUUUCCCAUAUACAUAGUUAUUAGGACAGCUACUCUGUGUGUAGCUAUAAUUUCUUGGGUUAAUUAGAAAAAAAUAUGCAAAUGCAUCAAGGUUGGGUUAAUAAAUCAUUAAUAAAUCAUUAGGUAAUUAUAAAUAAACUAUCCAAUUACUAUACAAAUUAUGAUCAAAUUUAGAUUGGUUUUUUAUUUCUACCAAAAUCUACUCAUUUUCUAAGUACCUGCCAAACAUUCUGUAAAUGUAUUGAGAACUUUUCAAACAAAUUAAAAAUGUUCCUCUUUAAUCAUAACAACAUAUUACAAAUGUUCUAUAAUUUAUAAAUGGAAUUUAAUUCUAGCUAAAAUAGGUAAAUUCUUUUUUAUUUUUAAUAAUUAGUUUUUUUAUACUAUACUUAUAUUAGAUGAAUCUUACAUGUUUAUAAUUUAUAUAGCUUAAGACUACAAUAUUUAUAUUAUCCAUUAAUGCAUGUUCUUAUAGUAGAACAAUACCUAUUAUAAACAUUUUAUAAUAUUAAUGACUACAUUUUUUUUUUAUUUCAGUAUCAAAAGAUGACAGAGGUACGUGCAUAUUGAAUUAACUGUAUUUUUUAAUUUGCUUAAUUUUUUGUGAUUUGUGCCUCAAAACUUAUUUAAUGAUAGUCAAUGGUCAUCAUACAACUUUUACUUACUCACUGAGUACCAUUAUAGCUAUGAAUCCGUUUAGUUGUCAAACCGUCAUCCAUUUAUUGGGUGUUACUGUUACUAUCAUUGUAAAGACUAAAGAUAGACCUAUACAAUAGGUAUUGUAUAAAACGUUGACUCAAACUAUAUAAAAAUCAUUCAACUUACAUAUAAACGUGGUAUCCGGUAGGUCCAUAAUAUCACAUUUAUAACAAAUCAUAAUUAUAAUUAUUUCAUUUUUUUUUUUAGAAAAAGUAUCGAAGAACGUUAUAGAACUAUUCAACGAAUUCGAAAUUGAAGGGGAAUAUAAAACACCUUUAAAGUUCUGCAGGAAUGAAGUUACAAACAAUAUCGAAACGUUUAUUAAGAAAAUUUUUACAAUUAAUGACGUAUAGACAGAAGGUUAAUCAUUUUUUAUGAUCAUCUUAUGAUUUUAUUUAUAUAUAUAUUAUACUACUAUAAUAAUUCAUACUAAAAUAAAUGCGAUGUUUACGGCAAAAAAUAAUUCAACAUCAUAUUAUAACACAUAUAUUACUAAUAGUAGUACUUACCUAUUAUAAAUUAAUAAUAUAUCAUUAAAUAAUAUUAUAUAUUA